GGGCACAGCCUCACUAAUUCCAGUUUUGGGAAUCGUUGCUUAUCACAGAAGAAGCAUAAUGAUGACUGAAUGGUUCUUGAAAACCUUAAUUGCUCUUGAGGUCGCUGUUGCUAUCAUCACAAUCUUUGGAACCAAUUACUGGAAUAUCGCUCUUCUUGUUAUGCAAGGCUAUUUGAUUUACGCAUCUUGGAGCAUGUUGAAGGUGUACUAUCAACUUGAAAAGGAGC
rnacentral:ribozyme from 1 species